AAGACGUGCGCAGGCGGUUAUGUAAGACAGAUGUGAAAUCCCCGGGCUCAACCUGGGAACUGCAUUUGUGACUGCAUGGCUAGAGUACGGUAGAGGGGGAUGGAAUUCCGCGUGUAGCAGUGAAAUGCGUAGAUAUGCGGAGGAACACCGAUGGCGAAGGCAAUCCCCUGGACCUGUACUGACGCUCAUGCACGAAAGCGUGGGGAGCAAACAGGAUUAGAUACCCUUGU
rnacentral:rRNA from 1 species